UCUGUCGAGCUCAAUUCGGCUCUCACAGGCUAUAGUCGAGUAAACAGGAUCUAAAAAUCCAACUUACGUACCCUCGGCACAAUCUAAUGCAAAAACAGUAAUCUGGGUCCACCGUUAACCCCGACGGCAUCCGACAGUCCGGAACAGCCUAAAAACUGCUGUAAAAAUAAGCUCGGCAUCUCAGCACGAGCGUAAAAGUAUUCUACACUAUCCUGGGUAUCCACAGCCCACAAAUUGCGGCGAUACAAACAAACUACAGCUCCUAGAGUUAAAUCUGGUAGUUUUAACAUAUGAUAGUGUAAAAUCGGCAGUUUUCUCCUAAGUGAAAUCCAAGUCCAACAUGUAUUAUUUAACUAACUCACUACAACAUACUCUAAAUUCAUAUUUCGUUUAACAUGCUAAUCGAUGAAGGCUGAAAUAUACAUGUUGACUAUUCAUACACUUAGGAGGAGAAUCCGAUGAUUAACCCACCUCUAGCACUCAACCCACAGCAGCGAGAAGGUCACGAAGUUGCUGGGAGCUUCAGCCGAAAUCACCCACAACCAGCAACAAAGAUUCUCCAAGGCUCUACAACAAUAACAUCAAUAAAUCCAUCAAUAUACCAAAAUUCAACACUUAAGCUUCAAAUUCUCUUAACUCCAAUGUCAACUUCACAUUCCAAUCUUCAAAUCUGGUGAAGUAAGGUUUCAAAAUCAGUGUAGGAUGAUAGCACACUAGGCUCAGGUCGCAACUCCAGUUCCCUCCAGGAAUUUAUCCAUGAAAAAUCCAAAAUUUUCAGAUUCGGUCCGAAAACACCAGCAGCAUAGUGAAAAGCCAAAUUGACCAAGCUAACCUCAACUAAAUUCUGUCAAAAAGGGCUUCACGAAUUCCUCUUGAAGUCCAGAAUCCACCAAACUAAGUUUCACAGCAAUCCGACCUUUCUACGUCGCACACGAGCCAAAACGCCGAAGGUCGCUGCUGGAAAUCUGCUCAACUACAGUCCUCAAAGCUUCAAUUGAGGAAUUUGGAGUAAUUUGGAGAAUUUAGAGGUGUUGGAAUGCAAAUUAUGGGUUCUCAGUGAAGGAGGGAUGAAAAGAGUUUACUGGGGUCGAACUCUAGCUAUUUAUAG
rnacentral:lncRNA from 1 species